CACGUAGGGCGCGAGCGUUGUCCGGAAUUAUUGGGCGUAAAGAGCUCGUAGGCGGCCUGUUGCGUCCGCUGUGAAAGCCCGGGGCUUAACCCCGGGUCGGCAGUGGAUACGGGCAGGCUAGAGGUAGGUAGGGGAGAAUGGAAUUCCCGGUGUAGCGGUGAAAUGCGCAGAUAUCGGGAGGAACACCGGUGGCGAAGGCGGUUCUCUGGGCCUUAUCUGACGCUGAGGAGCGAAAGCGUGGGGAGCGAACAGG
rnacentral:rRNA from 1 species